rnacentral:rRNA from 1 species
UACGGGGGGAGCAAGCGUUGUUCGGAUUUACUGGGCGUAAAGGGCGCGUAGGCGGCGUAACUAGUCACUUGUGAAAUCUCCGGGCUUAACCCGGAGCGGCCAAGUGAUACUGUUGUGCUAGAGUGCGGAAGGGGCUACUGGAAUUCUCGGUGUAGCGGUGAAAUGCGUAGAUAUCGAGAGGAACACCUGCGGCGAAGGCGGGUAGCUGGGCCGACACUGACGCUGAGGCGCGAAAGCCAGGGGAGCGAACGGG